rnacentral:rRNA from 1 species
AUUAGAUACCCUGGGUAGUCCACGCAGUAAACGAUGAAUACUAGCUGUCCGGGGCGAAUGAGCCCUGGGUGGCACAGCGAAAGCGUUAAGUAUUCCACCUGGGGAGUACGCCGGCAACGGUGAAACUCAAAGGAAUUGACGGGGGCCCGCACAAGCGGAGGAACAUGUGGUUUAAUUCGAUGAUACGCGAGGAACCUUACCCGGGCUCAAACGACACAGGAACGGUCCUGAAAGGGGUCGGCUCUACGGAGCCUGUGUCGAGGUGCUGCAUGGUUGUCGUCAGCUCGUGCCGUGAGGUGUCGGCUUAAGUGCCAUAACGAGCGCAACCCCCAUCGACAGUUGCUAACAGGUUAGGCUGAGGACUCUGUCGAGACUGCCGGCGCAAGCUGCGAGGAAGGCGGGGAUGACGUCAAAUCAGCACGGCCCUUACGUCCGGGGCGACACACGUGUUACAAUGGCAGGUACAGCGGGAAGCCACCUGGCGACAGGGAGCGGAACCCGAAAGCCUGUCUCAGUUCGGAUUGGAGUCUGCAACCCGACUCCAUGAAGCUGGAUUCGCUAGUAAUCGCGCAUCAGCCACGGCGCGGUGAAUACGUUCCCGGGCCUUGUACACACCGCCCGUCAAGCCAUGGAAGCCGGGGGUGCCUGAAGUGCGCUGCCGCAAGGAGCGCCCUAGGGUAAAACCGGUGACUGGGGCUAAGUCGUAACAAGGUACC